rnacentral:rRNA from 1 species
CCUACGGGUGGCAGCAGUGGGGAAUAUUGCGCAAUGGGCGAAAGCCUGACGCAGCGACGCCGCGUGAGGGAUGAAGGUCUUCGGAUCGUAAACCUCUGUCAGCAGGGAAGAACGGUCACUGUGCUAAUCAGCAGUGAAUUGACGGUACCUGACUAAGAAGCCCCGGCUAACUACGUGCCAGCAGCCGCGGUAAUACGGAGGGGGCAAGCGUUAGCCGGAUUUCGUGGGUGUAAAGGGAGCGUAGACGGCAUUGCAAGUGCGGAUUGAAAGCCCGGGGCCCAACCCGGGGACUGCACGGGAAACUGGAAGGCUGGAGUGGGGGAGAAGCAGGCGGAAUGCCUGGUGUAGCGGGGAAAUGCGUAGAUAUCAGGAGGAACACCGGCGGCGAAGGCGGCCUGCUGGACCCUAACUGACGUUGAGGCUCGAAAGCGUGGGGAGCAAACAGGAUUAGAUACCCCAGUAGUC